rnacentral:rRNA from 1 species
GAUGAACGCUGGCGGCGUGCCUAAUACAUGCAAGUCGAGCGAACAGGCGAUGAGCUUGCUCCUCUGACGUUAGCGGCGGACGGGUGAGUAACACGUGGAUAACCUACCUAUAAGACUGGUAUAACUUCGGGAAACCGGAUCUAAUACCGGAUAAUAUCUUGAACCGCAUGGUUCAAUAGUGAAAGACGGUUUUGCUGUCACUUAUAGAUGGAUCCGCGCCGCAUUAGCUAGUUGGUAAGGUAACGGCUUACCAAGGCGACGAUGCGUAGCCGACCUGAGAGGGUGAUCGGCCACACUGGAACUGAGACACGGUCCAGACUCCUACGGGAGGCAGCAGUAGGGAAUCUUCCGCAAUGGGCGGAAGCCUGACGGAGCAACGCCGCGUGAGUGAUGAAGGUCUUCGGAUCGUAAAACUCUGUUAUUAGGGAAGAACAAAUGUGUAAGUAACUAUGCACGUCUUGACGGUACCUAAUCAGAAAGCCACGGCUAACUACGUG